UUGAUUAUGACUUUGUUGCAACCAAAUAAUUAUAUUUUUGGUUAAUUUUUAUAUAUUAGUUAAAAACUAUAAUUUUGCUAUAAUGGUUGGAAGCAAGUGUCACGGACACAGAAUACAGACUUGAUAUCUACCAAGAAGUUCAAGAAGAACUGGCAAGAACUAGAUUAAUCAGAUGAAUACAAGAACAACACCAGAGAGGUGAGCUAGAGCUCCAAGAGAUGUG
rnacentral:lncRNA from 1 species